rnacentral:rRNA from 1 species
CAAGGAAUAUUGCGCAAUGGGCGAAAGCCUGACGCAGCGACGCCGCGUGGGUGAUGAAGGCCUUCGGGUCGUAAAGCCCUUUUGCUGGGGAAGAGCAAGGACGGUACCCAGCGAAUAAGCCCCGGCUAACUACGUGCCAGCAGCCGCGGUAAUACGUAGGGGGCUAGCGUUGUCCGGAAUUACUGGGCGUAAAGAGCGCGUAGGCGGUCAUUUAAGUCGGUUGUGAAAUCCUUCGGCCCAACCGGAGGAGGCCAACCGAUACUGGGUGACUUGAGGGUGGCAGAGGAAAGCGGAAUUCCCGGAGUAGUGGUGAAAUGCUUAGAUACCGGGAGGAACACCGGUGGCGAAGGCGGCUUUCUGGGCUUCUCCUGACGCUGAGGCGCGAAGGCGUGGGGAGCGAACCGA